CGGGAAGAGCUCAAAUUUAAAAUCUGGCAGCCUUGUGUUGUCCGAGUUGUAAUUUGUAGAGGAUACUUUUGAUGCGGUGCCUUCCGAGUUCCCUGGAACGGGACGCCAUAGAGGGUGAGAGCCCCGUCUGGUUGGAUGCCAAAUCUCUGUAAAGUUCCUUCAAC
rnacentral:rRNA from 1 species